rnacentral:tRNA from 1 species
ACCUGAGUAGCUCAGUCGGUUAAGCAUCUGACUUCCACUCAGGUCAUGAUCUCACGGUUUGUGAGUUCGAGCCCCACAUCAGGCU